GAUGAACGCUGGCGGCGUGCCUAAUACAUGCAAGUCGAGCGAACAGAUGAGGAGCUUGCUCCUCUGACGUUAGCGGCGGACGGGUGAGUAACACGUGGAUAACCUACCUAUAAGACUGGGAUAACUUCGGGAAACCGGAGCUAAUACCGGAUAAUAUAUUGAACCGCAUGGUUCAAUAGUGAAAGACGGUUUUGCUGUCACUUAUAGAUGGAUCCGCGCCGCAUUAGCUAGUUGGUAAGGUAACGGCUUACCAAGGCGACGAUGCGUAGCCGACCUGAGAGGGUGAUCGGCCACACUGGAACUGAGACACGGUCCAGACUCCUACGGGAGGCAGCAGUAGGGAAUCUUCCGCAAUGGGCGAAAGCCUGACGGAGCAACGCCGCGUGAGUGAUGAAGGUCUUCGGAUCGUAAAACUCUGUUAUUAGGGAAGAACAAAUGUGUAAGUAACUAUGCACGUCUUGACGGUACCUAAUCAGAAAGCCACGGCUAACUAC
rnacentral:rRNA from 1 species